rnacentral:misc_RNA from 1 species
GAAAUGCGAUAGCUGGCGUGAAAUGCAGAAACCUGUGAACGUUGAAUUUUCGAACUCAAAUGGAGCAGAUGGUAAUACCGUCUGCACGUUCUUAUGACUGCUGGAUAGUUACCAAAGCUAAAUGCUCUGCACUGGCUGUUCUGUUGGCGUUUGUCGAUGGGCGGCUGAAUAAAGUGUAUCAGUCGAACCGUCCUGAAUGUAACAUUCAGCGUCUCUGGUGAAUUCUUGAGGCUUGAGUGUUGCUGAAGGCGGCCGGCGUUAUCCUAUCAGCGUCAUAUAGAGCGAGGCUACCCGCUGAAUUUAA